CAGUACCUUUUCAAGAGACUUCGCCCUUCAUUGGUGCGGCUGCAGUGGCCAA
rnacentral:precursor_RNA from 1 species